rnacentral:rRNA from 1 species
AACGAACGCUGGCGGCAUGCCUAACACAUGCAAGUCGAACGAGACCUUCGGGUCUAGUGGCGCACGGGUGCGUAACGCGUGGGAACCUGCCUUUAGGUUCGGAAUAACCCAGAGAACUUUGAGCUACUACCGGACGAUGUCUUCGGACCAAAGAUUUAUCGCCUUUCGAUGGGCCCGCGUUGGAUUAGCUAGUUGGUGGGGUAAAGGCCUACCAAGGUGACGAUCCAUAGCUGGUCUGAGAGGAUGAUCAGCCACACUGGGACUGAGACACGGCCCAGACUCCUACGGGAGGCAGCAGUGGGGAAUAGUAGACAAUGGGCGAAAGCCUGAUCCAGCAAUGCCGCGUGAGUGAUGAAGGCCUUAGGGUUGUAAAGCUCUUUUGCCCGAGAUGAUAAUGACAGUAGCGGGAGAAUAAGCUCCGGCUGACUCCGUG